GAGAUCUUAACCUCCAUAGAAAUGAUUAAGCAACAGAAUUUCCAGGUGUCUCUCUUCUGUCCACUUUUUCUGUUGCUUAAUCAUUGUGUUGCAGCUUCAAAAGCUUCAGGCGAACAGAUCAACACUGGAUGAGGUUCCAGAUUUGACAGACCUUCGACUUCCAAUGUCCUCGCUGGAAGACAUGAGGAGAGUUGAGGGUCAACUUUCAGAUCAAGACUUAAAAAAUAACCUGACCAUAUAUUUGGGACUGUCUGGAGGGAUGAACACCAAGGAGAAUGUGUGGAGAAUCCUCUCAAAACUCCUUACAAAUGGCCUGGCCAUGAAAAUGAAUUGGAGAGGGGCCAAUGGGAACAGGCUUUUGAACCUCUUGCCUUAAAAAGUUUUGUUAUCGGUGCUGUGCAUCGCAGCCAUUCUGAAGUUCCUGAUGUGAAGAUAGAAAAAUAAAUAAAAUGAUGGAUGCAGCUAGCCACUGACAGAGAUGGAGGGAGAAAAAGUAGAGAGCGAGUGAGAAGUGACCAGACCGUGGAGGAGUGAUGGAGAAAACUGAAU